rnacentral:tRNA from 1 species
GGAGGGGUCGCAUAGUGGCCUAGUGCGGCGGUUUGCUAAACCGCUAUACCGUUUAAUCGCGGUAUCGAGAGUUCAAAUCUCUCCCCCUCCG